UUGAGAGUUUGAUCCUGGCUCAGAACGAACGCUGGCGGCAGGCCUAACACAUGCAAGUCGAGCGCACUCUUCGGAGUGAGCGGCGGACGGGUUAGUAACGCGUGGGAAUAUACCCAGAUCUAAGGAAUAGCCACUGGAAACGGUGAGUAAUACCUUAUACGCCCUUCGGGGGAAAGAUUUAUCGGAGAAGGAUCAGCCCGCGUUAGAUUAGAUAGUUGA
rnacentral:rRNA from 13 species